rnacentral:rRNA from 1 species
AGUGAACGCUGGCGGUAGGCCUAACACAUGCAAGUCGAACGGCAGCACAGUAAGAGCUUGCUCUUACGGGUGGCGAGUGGCGGACGGGUGAGGAAUACAUCGGAAUCUACUUUUUCGUGGGGGAUAACGUAGGGAAACUUACGCUAAUACCGCAUACGACCUACGGGUGAAAGCAGGGGAUCUUCGGACCUUGCGCGAUUGAAUGAGCCGAUGUCGGAUUAGCUAGUUGGCGGGGUAAAGGCCCACCAAGGCGACGAUCCGUAGCUGGUCUGAGAGGAUGAUCAGCCACACUGGAACUGAGGCACGGUCCAGACUCCUACGGGAGGCAGCAGUGGGGAGUAUUGGACAAUGGGCGCAAGCCUGAUCCAGCCAUACCGCGUGGGUGAAGAAGGCCUUCGGGUUGUAAAGCCCUUUUGUUGGGAAAGAAAAGCAGCAGGUUAAUACCCCGCUGUUCUGACGGUACCCAAAGAAUAAGCACCGGCUAACUUCGUG